GAUGAAGAACGUAGCGAAAUGCGAUAAGUAAUGCGAAUUGCAGAAUUCAGUGAGUCAUCGAAUCUUUGAACGCACAUUGCGCCCUGUGGUAUUCCGCAGGGCAUGCCUGUUCGAGCGUCAUUUCAACCCUCAAGCUCUGCUUGGUGUUGGGCCCUGCCCGCUGCGGCCGGCCCUAAAGACAGUGGCGGUGCCGCCUGGCCCUGAGCGUAGUACAUCUCUCGCUCCAGUGCCCGGUGGUAGCCUGCCAGAACCCCAACUCUCGUGGUUGACCUCGGAUCAGGUAGGGAUACCCGCUAAACUUAAGCAUAUCAAUAAGCGGAGGA
rnacentral:misc_RNA from 1 species